UACGUAGGGUGCGAGCGUUAAUCGGAAUUACUGGGCGUAAAGUGUGCGCAGGCGGCAGAGCAAGUCGAGUGUGAAAGCCCCGGGCUUAACUUGGGAAUUGCGCUCGAAACUACUUUGCUGGAGUGUGGCAGAGGAAGGUGGAAUUCCACGUGUAGCGGUGAAAUGCGUAGAGAUGUGGAGGAACACCAAUGGCGAAGGCAGCCUUCUGGGCCAGCACUGACGCUCAUGCACGAAAGCGUGGGGAGCAAACAGG
rnacentral:rRNA from 1 species